UACGUUCUUGGCUGGAGCUUUCGCCUCGGCGGAGGCCGCGCGCCGGACCUCGACCUCUCCAAGCUCCCGAGGCCCCCGUCGCCGCCGGGACCAUCCAAGAAGAGGAUGUCGCUUCUACUAAUCCUGAUACUGCUCCUCCUGGCUGUCCUGCUCCUGCUCCUGGUGUCGGCGGCCAUCGCGAUGUUCGUCGUGCGGCGGCAACGGUGGCGCCGACAACGCCAGGAGUUCUCCGAGGAGGAGGAAGGCUGGGAGAUGAUAGAUUACAGCCCACACAGGAUCAGCUACAAGGACCUGCACGACGCCACCAAUGGCUUCCGCGACGUCAUCGGCGUGGGCGGCUUCGGCCGCGUGUACCACGGCGUGCUCCCGAGGUCCGGCGUCGAGGUCGCCGUCAAGAAGGUGUCCCACGGGUCGCAGCAGGGGUUGCAGGAGUUCGUGUCGGAGAUCACGAGCAUGAGCCGGCUGCGCCACCGCAACCUGGUGCAGCUCCUCGGCUACUGCCGGCGGCGCGACGAGCUGGUGCUCGUCUACGACUACAUGCCCAACGGCAGUCUGGACCAGCACCUGUUCGGCCGCGCCGCGCCGGGGCUGAGCUGGGAGCAGCGCGCCAAGAUCGUCCGGGGGGUCGCCGCCGGACUGCUGUACCUGCACGAGGGGUGGGAGCAGGUGGUGGUGCACCGGGACAUUAAGGCCGGCAACGUGCUCCUCGACGCCGACAUGAACGGCAAGCUCAGCGACUUCGGCUUCGCGCGGCUCUACGACCACGGCGGCGACCCGCAUGCGACGCACGUGGUCGGCACGCUCGGGUACAUCGCGCCGGAGAUGAGCAAGACCGGCAUGGCCACCACGAGCUCCGACGUCUUCGCCUUCGGAGCCUUCCUGCUGGAGGUGGCGUGCGGCCGCAGGCCCGUGGUGUUCACCGUGGACGCCGACGGCGACUCGCCGUCACCGGCGGGGAUCGUCGAGCUCGUCCUCCAGCGCUGGAAGGCCGGGAAGAUCACGCAGGCUCGGGACCCGAGGAUCGGCGAGUGCGACGAGGACGACCUGGAGCUGGUCCUCAAGCUGGGGCUGCUCUGCUCGCACCCCGACCCAGAGCGCCGGCCGGGCAUGAGGCAGGUGGUGCAGAUGCUGGAACACGCCGUGCCCCCGCCAGAGAUGUCGCCGGAGGUUAUCAGCGAGAGCAUGAAGCAGUUCGAGCACCAUGAGGCUUUUGACGAG
rnacentral:rRNA from 1 species